rnacentral:rRNA from 1 species
UACGUAGGGUGCGAACGUUGUUCGGAAUCACUGGGCAUAAAGAGCGCGUAGGCGGUCCAAUAAGUCCUGUGUGAAAGACCCCGGCUUAACCGAGGAAUUGCACAGGAUACUGUUGGGCUAGAGUGCAGGAGGGGAGAGCGGAAUUCCUGGUGGAGCGGUGAAAUGCGUAGAUAUCAGGAGGAACGCCAGCGGCGAAAGCGGCUCUCUGGUCUGUUACUGACGCUGAGGCGCGAAAGCUAGGGGAGCAAACGGG